AAAAAAAAAAAAAAAAAAAAAAAAAAAAAAAAAAAGCUUAAAUAUUAAUUUAGUAAAGAGAUUUUAUUUUUUAUGAAAAUGAGAAAAUUUUUAAUGAAGGCAAAAAAAAAUUAAUUUUCGGAUGUUUGAAAGUUGAAUGAAAAAUUUUUAAAAAUAAAAAAAAAAAUAAAUUUAAAAAAAAAUAAAAAAUAAUUAUAAAAAUAAAUUUAUAAAAUAAAAAAAAAAUAAUUUUUUUAAUUUUUUUUUUUCAACAAAAAUUAACAUUUCAAAAAUAAAAAUAAUUUUUAAAGUGCACUCGCUUUUUUUUUUAUUUUAUUUUUUUUUUUUAAAUUGGACUACUUUUAAAAAAAAAAAAUUUUUUUUUUUUUUUUAUAUAUAAAAGUACACAUUUAUGCACUAAAAAAAAAAAAANNNNNNNNNNAAAAUAAAUAACAUAACAACAAACCAAGUAAAUAUAUCAAUGUAUUGUAAUAGGAGUAUAUAUACAUACAAGUUAUUUUUUUAACUUAAAUAUAACUACAUCAUUUUAUAUAGCUUAUUUCGAAUAUAUGUAGUCACAUAAAAUAAACAAAAUAAUACUGUUAACACAAUUCUUAUUUUUAGUUAUAUUCUACAAUUUAAAACAUUAUGAUAAUGUAAUAGUUAAUUAUGAAUUAAAAAAAAAUAAUUAUAAAAAAAAUAGUUUUUUUUUUUUUGUUAUAGCAACAAUAUAUAUAUAUAUAUAUAUAUAUAUAUAUGUGUUGUAUUUUUUUUUUUUGCAGAUUUUAUGUAAUAUGAUAUUAAAAAGUUUGCUUACCAUGAACCACACAGUAUACAAAGACAUAACAUGUUUUUGUGAAUUAAUUAUUUUGAUAAUAAAAAAAGAUAAAGACACAUUAAUAAAUAUUUUACUACUGAUUAAAAACACUAUGCCAUGUGAUUUUUUUUAUCUUUUCUUAUCGAAAACUUUAUAUCAUUUAUUAAACUCGUCUUCUUAUAACAAAAGAAUAAACGACAUUUAUUUUUAUUAUUUAUUUGUGGGAUUACAUACAAAUAAGGAAAAACUUAUAUUACAUACUUUAGAAAUGUUAAACACUUUUAGUUUGCAAAAUGAUUGUUACGAUAUACUCCCAUUAUCUAGCUUACUGUACAAGCUACUGGAAAUGAAAAAAAUAAUUUAUGACAUAUACCUGUUUUCUAUUAGCGCGAAUAUAUUACAUAUAAUAUUAAAUAAUCAGAAGAAACACGAAUAUCUUACACACACUGAAGAGUUAAUAAAAAUAUGUUGUACUUUAUUAAAAAACACUAAAAGAAAGUAUUAUUUAAAAAAAAAAAUAAAAUAAAAAAAAAUAAAA
rnacentral:lncRNA from 1 species